GGGUCGGUGGUGUAGUGGUAACAUGUGUCGCGGCUACAGUCUUUCCCGCGAUUCGUUCCAGGUUCGAUUCCUGGCUGACCUG